rnacentral:rRNA from 1 species
UACGUAGGGGGCAAGCGUUGUCCGGAAUUAUUGGGCGUAAAGAGCGCGUAGGCGGUCCGAUAAGUCGGCUGUGAAAGUCAAGGGCUCAACCCUUGAAAGCCGGCCGAUACUGUCGGACUAGAGUCCGGAAGAGGCGAGUGGAAUUCCCGGUGUAGCGGUGAAAUGCGUAGAGAUGGGGGAGAACACUCGUGGCGAAGGCGGCCAGCUAGACCAGUUCUGACACUGAGGCGCGACAGCGUGGGGAGCAAACAGG